UACAGAGGUCCCAAGCGUUGUUCGGAUUCACUGGGCGUAAAGGGUGCGUAGGUGGUUGAAUAAGUUUGAUGUGAAAUCUCCGAGCUUAACUCGGAAACUGCAUUGAAUACUGUUUGACUAGAGGAUUGGAGGGGGGGCUGGAAUUCUCGGUGUAGCAGUGAAAUGCGUAGAUAUCGAGAGGAACACCAGUGGCGAAGGCGAGUCCCUGGACAACUCCUGACACUGAGGCACGAAAGCUAGGGGAGCAAACAGG
rnacentral:rRNA from 1 species